UAUUUUCAGAAAUAUAUUUCGAGUAAAUAGUUGUGAUUAGUAUUUGGUCUCUGAUUAUAACUUGAUAAUUUGUCUCCUUGUGUAGGGUUGGUUUGUUCAUUUUUAAUUAGUUUAAUGCAGAGGGAAAAUGUGAACUUUACCACUGUGGUAGCAAUGGAAUACUACUACAGAACAUGAAUAAAAUACUAAGUACAAAUAUAUUUCUAUACUGAUAUAAUUGAAGGCUAAUAUUAUAUUAAAUCACAUUGCAUUAAAUCACCUAGCUUCCUAAACUGCUGUAGUUCACAUAAUAUACCUGGCAAAUAGGGAGAUGCUAAGCAUGCCAAAGCAUGCCUCAGAUUUGUAGGAUACUCCUGACACUUGCCCUCCUUUUCCUUGAUGCAUGUGUUCUUCACAUCUAUUUUAUUUUCAAAGGAAUGGUCACACACUUCUUGGUGUUUCCAAUUGUACUAAAACUCCAGGUGGAAGUUGAAGACUUAGAUCCAAUAUCUUGGAACCUCUAGUGGAUGCUGAAACAAUUAACACAAGACUGGACUGUGUUCAGGAAUUCUCCAAGAUGAGGAGCUCUUUUUUGGUCUUCAAGCAGUUAUCUCAAAAUUCCUGGAUCCAGACCAACUACUUUGAGUUUCAGUACAGAGUCCAAAGCAGGAUACAGUUAAUACUGCUGAAUCAAAAAGAACUAAUUUAAUCUAUCUGAAGCAUACCUUAGAACUUGUGGAGCCUCUGAAAAUUUGGAAUGAUACCGGGAAAGAUUACAACUGAAAUGAAGGAUGACAAAGAAUACACAAAAGGAUGUCUGAGUGUGAGGACCCAGGAGUGCUACACCAUUAAGCCUAACAUCAGUGAGUUCCUUGACACAGCUCAUAGAACAUACAUGGAAAUUGUUGAUCACACAGCAGGACUAAAAGCUGCAGAAGUGUCCUCGCUACCAUCAUGCAUAAUUUUGGAUGCAAAGGAAAUCACAAAUCACAUUGCAAAACAAAUUUUGUGCCAGGAAACAGAUGAAGCUUGAAGAAAAUUGAAGGAAUUUGGAUGUGUGAAAACAAGCUGAGAAGAGGUUUGGACAUCAGGGUGUUCACUGGCAGCACAGGCUGGCAUUAGGGCUGAGCAGCAGCACCAAACCUGGAGCACAUCAACCAUUGAGCUUUCACCUGAUGUUUUAUCAGGGGCUUUAUGGCCCUGCCAAGAGAAGAUGUUAAUUGAUGAGUCCUGGGCUGAGCCCUGGCUGUGACCUGUUCUGUUGGAGCUGGUGGUUUUCUGACACAUUCACCAGCCUCACUCUCUAAUGAUUAGUCCUGGGGUUUGUUCCUGUUUUUCUUUCAGCCUUAUAUCCAACUUUCCACCCCUUUUCUUCUCUCUGUCCAGUGUGUCUUUUGUGUUCCUUUCUUGUUCUGAGUGCUCCCCAUCCCAUUCCCUUUCACUGCUUCUGUAUCUCUCAGUCCUUGCUGUGUGUUUGGCACUUUUUCUGUGUCCUUCUCCAGGCCUCACUCGUGUUUUGUUCUCUGUGGUGCUCCCCAUGCCGUUGUUUCCGACAGGAUUCUUGUGUCCUGCUCACUGUCCCUGUUCUUUUUUGAUCCCUCUCUGCGUGCUGCCCAUACAGCAUCCCAGGGGGUUUUUUUGCUGUUUUUUUCCCCCCAUUUCAUCCUGUACCCUGAUCUUGGUUUUCUUCCUGUGUCCUCUCUGCUGCCACUCCUUUCUGCCUCUUGUCACCUGUGUCUGUUGGGCUGGGGAGGAGCGUCAGCACUUCUGGGGCUGCCCCUGUUUCUUGUGUCAGCAGAGCCCCUUUCUGGGGGAAUGUUCACAUGGAAAGGGUUGGAAUAAAGUGCUGUGCUGCUGUCAGGGCA